GAAUUUUGGACAAUGGGCGCAAGCCUGAUCCAGCCAUGCCGCGUGGGUGAAGAAGGCCUUCGGGUUGUAAAGCCCUUUCGGCUGGGACGAAAAGGUCCGCGCCAACACCGCGGAUCCAUGACGGUACCAGCAGCAGAAGCACCGGCUAACUACGGGCCAGCAGCCGCGGUAAUACGUAGGGGGCAGGCGUUAAUCGGAAUUACUGGGCGUAAAGCGUGCGCAGGCGGUUUGCUAAGACAGGUGUGAAAUCCCCGGGCUUAACCUGGGAACUGCGCUUGUAACUGGCAGGCUGGAGUGUGGCAGAGGGGGGUGGAAUUCCACGUGUAGCAGUGAAAUGCGUAGAGAUGUGGAGGAACACCGAUGGCGAAGGCAGCCCCCUGGGCUAACACUGACGCUCAUGCACGAAAGCGUGGGGAGCAAACAGG
rnacentral:rRNA from 1 species